rnacentral:misc_RNA from 1 species
GAUGAAGAACGUAGUGAAAUGCGAUAAGUAAUGUGAAUUGCAGAAUUCAGUGAAUCAUCGAAUCUUUGAACGCACAUUGCGCCCGCCAGUAUUCUGGCGGGCAUGCCUGUUCGAGCGUCAUUUCAACCAUCAAGCCCCCGGGCUUGUGUUGGGGACCUGCGGCUGCCGCAGGCCCUGAAAAGCAGUGGCGGGCUCGCUGUCACACCGAGCGUAGUAGAUUUUAUCUCGCUCUGGGCGUGCUGCGGGUUCCGGCCGUUAAACCACCCUUUUAACCCAAGGUUGACCUCGGAUCAGGUAGGAAGACCCGCUGAACUUAAGCAUAUCAAGCGGAGGA